AUUGAACGCUGGCGGCAGGCUUAACACAUGCAAGUCGAGCAGAGUGAUGGUGCUUGCACUAUCACUUAGCGGCGGACGGGUGAGUAAUGCUUAGGAAUCUGCCUAUUAGUGGGGGACAACAUCCCGCAAGGGAUGCUAAUACCGCAUACGUCCUACGGGAGAAAGCAGGGGAUCACUUGUGACCUUGCGCUAAUAGAUGAGCCUAAGUCGGAUUAGCUAGUUGGUGGGGUAAAGGCCUACCAAGGCGACGAUCUGUAGCGGGUCUGAGAGGAUGAUCCGCCACACUGGGACUGAGACACGGCCCAGACUCCUACGGGAGGCAGCAGUGGGGAAUAUUGGACAAUGGGGGGAACCCUGAUCCAGCCAUGCCGCGUGUGUGAAGAAGGCCUUAUGGUUGUAAAGCACUUUAAGCGAGGAGGAGGCUCUUUUGGUUAAUACCCAAGAUGAGUGGACGUUACUCGCAGAAUAAGCACCGGCUAACUCUGUGCCAGCAGCCGCAGUAA
rnacentral:rRNA from 1 species